rnacentral:lncRNA from 1 species
GGGCUACCCAUCGGAACGGACGCCCCAGUCUGAAGCAGGACUCCCCGGGCUGGGCGGGGCUCCCGCCUCUUGGGCGGGAGUUAGCGCAUCUGGGCGGGGCUACUCGUUAGAACAAACUCCCCGGUCCGAAGCGAGGCUCUGGAGUCUGGGGCGGGGCUUAGCGCGAUUGGGGCGGGGGUCUGAAGAGAUUAGAGCGGUUGGGACAAUCCUGGAUUGAAAAGUUUAGCCUACACUGGUUUAGAACUCACAUGCUUCUAGCCUCUACCACCACUUGCUGAGAUUCAAGACUUCUUGAACAGCCACUACCAUAAAUGCUCUGGUCCAUCUCGUACGUGUUCCCGUGUUGCAGGCGGCUGUUGGCAAUACCUACUGGGUCAGUCGCCAGAACUGCAAAAGAUAGGACCAUCUCUGCCAUAGUCAGUCAAGACACUCUAAGAAGACCGAAAACAGUUUUGCAUGUGAAUUAAACAAGCCACCAACUCAAAAAUGGUGGCGGGGAUCAGAAGUUCAAGGUCAUUCCCAACUUUAUAGUGAGCUGAUGCCAAACUGGGCAAUGAGACCAUGUCUCAAUUAAAUAAGCAAACAAUCA